AGGACGAACGCUGGCGGCGCGCUUAACACAUGCAAGUCGAGCGAGAACCAGUCUUCGGACUGGGGAAAGCGGCGAACGGGUGAGUAACACGUGGGUAAUCAACCCUUGACACCGGGAUAGCCCGAGGAAACUCGGAUUAAUACCGGAUGGCCCAACAGUCUUUCGGGGCGGUUGGAAAAGGUAGCUUCGGCCUCCGGUCAGGGACGAGCCCGCGGCGGAUUAGCUUGUUGGUGAGGUAACGGCUCACCAAGGCAACGAUCCGUAGCUGGUCUGAGAGGACGAUCAGCCACACUGGGACUGAGACACGGCCCAGACUCCUACGGGAGCAGCAGUGGGGAAUCUUGCACAAUGGGCGAAAGCCUGAUGCAGCGACGCCGCGUGAGGGAAGAAGGCUUUCGGGUUGUAAACCUCUUUCAGGUGGGACGAAGCUCCUCGGGUUAAUAGCCCAGAGGGUGACGGUACCGCCAGAAGAAGCCCCGGCUAACUACGUGCCAGCAGCCGCGGU
rnacentral:rRNA from 1 species